rnacentral:lncRNA from 1 species
GGACUACACAGAGAAAGAGCAGUCAACCGUCUGCCCUGAGGCUGCUAGCCAGUGACACAAACAUUUCCUUUUGUGGAGCCUCAGAGGGCUGGGGCUGCAGCCAAGGGUCUGAGAAAGGCUAUAAGCACAUACCCUGGAUGGUUGUAGUGACCUUGGCCUACAGAAGCAGAGGCCCCACCCAUCAGGCCCUCACCCUCUGUGCAGAUAAAGGCCUUCCUUGCUGGUUUCUUAAAGCCCUCACAGGUGGCUUCAGGAGGAAGUGGUCACUGCUUAGCCAGGCUCUCAAACCAACUUCUCCCUGUGUUGGUGGGUGUGUUCCUGAGACUGUGGGUCAGCCAGACACCACAGGUCUUGUCAGAGGGUCAGGGUGGAGAAUGGGCUGUUAGGCUCUCAGGCCUGCGGCACCAGGCACAGAACAGAACCUCCUUUUUAAGAUCCUCAGAAGCUACUUUUGGCUACUGGGGAUACAAGGUGACUCUUGGGCAGGCACCCCUGAGAUGGGAAGCGGGGGUGGGGCACGCUGCGUGGAUGGAGAUGUGGUUGUUUCUGUUCAAGUCUGUUGCAGCUUCAGCCCUCGGCUGCUUUUCACACCAGAGGCCAAAGCUAGCAGGACUUCUAUCCCACAGCAAGGGAUUGUCCACUGCAGGUUCUCUGUGCCUGUUCUGGAUAUAGGACAGUGCCCCCAGGCAGCCCAGAGCCUAACACUGGCCUGUCACUCGGAUCUUC